CGUCUUCUCCUCCACAAAAAUGUCGCCUCCUCAAAAACCCUAUUCCUACUCCAGAAAAUCGACGGAGAAGGGGAACCAAAACCUACUUUACCACCAAAUCAACAAAAACCCUUCUCCAAAUCAACAAAAACCCUUCUCCAAAUCAAAGCGUCUCCACCUCAAAACCGUCGUCUCCUCCACAAAAUCGUUGUCUCCACCAGAAAAUCGAAUCCUCCACGAUUUUGGAAGACGGUGAACCAAAAGCCUACUUCAACAAUGGUGGACACUCGAGCAUCUGGAUCUGCUAGUCAUGACGGAAAAAUGUAUCAGAGAACGAACGUGAAGAAGAAGAUUUUGCGGAUCCCUAAAGCACCGAAAUAGGACGUUCUUUUGUAAGUAUUUAACAAUGAUUGGUUGUCACAAUCAAUGCAAAUCAGUGAUCAACGCACCUAUUCAGAGGUUGAAAAUGAGUUGGACAACGACAGACAAUGUUGAUGACAACAGGGUUUAUUUGCUUAGACACCUUGAAGUCUACAUGGGUGAAAGAGAGGGUCAAUGACUUUUGAAUGCUUUCCUCUUGUUUUUUGUAGACGAUAGCCC